UACGUAGGGUGCAAGCGUUAAUCGGAAUUACUGGGCGUAAAGCGUGCGCAGGCGGUUUUGUAAGUCUGUCGUGAAAUCCCCCGGGCUCAACCUGGGAAUUGCGAUGGAGACUGCAAGGCUAGAAUCUGGCAGAGGGGGGGUAGAAUUCCACGUGUAGCAGUGAAAUGCGUAGGGAUGUGGAGGAACACCGAUGGCGAAGGCAGCCCCCUGGGUCAAGAUUGACGCUCAUGCACGAAAG
rnacentral:rRNA from 1 species